rnacentral:rRNA from 1 species
CCUACGGGAGGCAGCAGUGGGGAAUAUUGCACAAUGGGGGAAACCCUGAUGCAGCGACGCCGCGUGAGCGAUGACGUAUUUCGGUAUGUAAAGCUCUAUCAGCAGGGAAGAAAAUGACGGUACCUGUCUAAGAAGCCCUGGCUAACUACGGGCCAGCAGCCGCGGUAAUACGGAGGGGGCAAGCGUUAUCCGGAUUUACUGGGGGUAAAGGGAGCGUAGACGGCUUUGCAAGCCAGAUGUGAAAGCCCGGGGCUCAACCCCGGGACUGCAUUUGGAACUGUAUAGCUGGAGUGUCGGAGAGGCAGGCGGAAUUCGUGGUGUAGCGGUGAAAUGCGUAGAUAUUAGGAGGAACACCAGUGGCGAAGGCAGCCUGCUGGACGAUGACUGACGCUGAGGCUCGAAAGCGUGGGGAGCAAACAGGAUUAGAUACCCGAGUAGUC